AAAAGAUUUCAAAGUACUUUUCAUUUUUCAUUUUUGAUAAAAGAAAGUACAUUUCAUUUUAAUGAAACAUUUUUGUUAGGCAAGAAGUAUUUACUUUUUCAGAUUGCCUUUGAUUGUGUUAACAUAUAAAAAUGAAGUGGCAAUUUGUAUGUAUCACAUAACUAAUCAAGACAAAAUACCAAAUGUGACUAUUUGUUAAUUUGGGGAGAUUCUAUAAACAAUAGAAAAAUGUAAGGGUAAAUGAGCUAUUUAAGGUUAAGUAGAAUGCUCUGGGCCAAAUGAGUCCUUGUAGGCCCAUUACAACCUGUAACCACUCAACAUUGCAACCAGACUUCCCAUUACAAAUGUUUUUAGCCUUUUUGUUUGUUGAUUACUUGAUUUGCAUCAGGUAACUUGCAAACAAACAAAUUUGUUUACAAUUCAUUCUUUUUAAUACUGGAUAACACAUGACAUCAUAAUAUAAUAUCUAAUUCUAUUAGAUAUGAUGAUCGACUACCUGCAACAUAUGUGAUGUUGAUGAACAACUCCAGGAUUUCAUGAUUAAGCUAUCUCUAAAAUACUUGGAUCGACGGACGGUUUUGCAUGUACGACAUCCUCGAUGGACAUGCUCUUUCUGCAGCAGACGACUACAACAAACGGCUCUGCUUACAGUACUCUGGAACUUCCGGUAAGUUUUGUAUCCUAUAAUCCCCAAGAAAUUGCAUAGUUUGGGAUUCAAACCCUAAACUUGGAUAUAAAAUCCUUUAAACUUUAACCAAUAGGAUAAGGUGCUUCUAUAAUUUACAAUUCAUUCAAGAUAGAAAAAUUAAAAAAUUAUGCUCCCAAUCACUUUUUCACUUUCGAAUUACGCCAUAAGCCACAUCCCACUUGAAACACACAUUCUAGUGUAUGAAAGACCACAUUGCCCUCUAACUAAAGGAAAACCACCUUCAAUUCUUUUUUCCUCUAUCUUCUCAUUUUCUUAGUUGGGUAACCAAAACAACACGUGGCCCUUCCCCUCUUCUAUAUUCUUAUUUUACCAAUUCGGAAAACUAUAACCCUUCAAAUUCAUUUUUUCCAGAAUCAUUUCCAGAGGCGACGUAGACUCUGAACCCUUCCCUCUCAGAAAACCACCUCCUUUCUUGUUCCUACUAACAUUUUCAUCAACCUUCUCAAAUCUCCAGUUCCCUAAAGAUAUACGGUCGUUUUCUCUCCGAAACUCACCAAUUUGAAGCUUUAAAGACAUGUGAGGAGGACAAUAAGUUCCUGACAACCGUCUCCCACCGAUACUGUUUGCGACUGACUGGUGCCUCUCUGGGCGUCUUAAUAUUUACUCUAAGCCUGACCUCCUUGCUUUCAUCCGUUAUGCGCUUCCUGGCACUAGGAGUUUGAGACUAUCAAAACUUCUUGUUUCAGGAAGUUGUUUGACUUACGAGCUCGCCAGUGUUCUGUCUCGUGCUAACUAGUACACUCCUUCCUGACCAGACAACUAGUUUGUGUCGAUAAACACAUCUUCUGGUGGAGGCAACCCCCUCUGGUUUGAUCUUUUUUGUCACAGUUUCAAACACCCAUGGAGGAAGAUGACACUCCAUCACACUCCCUUGUGGUCAGCCAAUAUAGCGCACAACAUUACGUCCACAACUCUCCCGUACAUGGCUCGCCGUCCACAACUCCCCGUACAUGGCUGGUCGUCCACAACUCACACGUCCACAACUCACACGUCCACAACUCACCCAUCUUCAACUAUCCUGUCCACACACACCACAUCCACACUUCACCCGUCCACGACUAUCCCAUCCAAAACUCUCCUAUUUAUCUCCCCAACACUGCAUGCAACACUUCCGCCGAACACCAUUCCGAUGUGCGUGCUCCUGCAUCUCCUCAAGUCAUAUUCUGUUUUGUAUGAUAGUAAUGCUCUAAACUCAAUCUGUUACAAAGAGAGUCUGGAGCUUCCUCACAUACGAGAAGAAACAAUAAAUUCAUGUCAUUGUCGUCAUGUAAUACCAAGCUUAUUUUUAACAUCAACCGUGAGAUUAAAAAUUUUCUUUUUGA